rnacentral:lncRNA from 1 species
AAAAAAAAUUCAAUGAACUUGAAGCCAAAUUAAAUCAAUUUUUCCAGAUUCAUUUUUAAAAAUAAUCCCUGAGGAAUAAUAUAUGUUUCACAUGGCUGCUUUUAAUUUUGUUUUGACAGUCCAUAAUUAUGAUAGAUCUUCAGUUGCUGAAAAAUAACACUGUAGAUGUUUAACUUUUUUUUUUUUUUCUUCAGACUUAUUUCUGGAUCAAAUAUUGAAAUUUUAUAUGGAUUCAAACUCCUGGGCUCUAAAUGGCAAACUUCUCAGUAGGCAAAAAUCAUUAAAGAAAAAGUUUUUGCAAAGAAAAAGAGGCAUCUAAGGAUUAGAUUUAUAAGUGGUGCUGAAACACAUUUUAUAUCGUCUUGAAAUCAAGAUUGCAACAUACUUUAACAUUCACAUUUUGUAUGGAUUUGAAGCCAUUGUCAUCAUAAUGAUGGUUUGGGCAUUUUGUGGAGGAGGGCUGUAUCUCAGAGUAUGGUUUGGUUAAAUACAAUUAGUGGACAAAAGACAAAGUGCUCAAGGCAGAUGGACAUCCUUCCUGUCUGAAUGGUGACGGGCUUUCUCCAGGCUGGUGAGAAUGUUGUUCCACAGGACCAUCCAGUCAAGGAGGACACGCGAAGGGACCUUCCACCAUUCUCUUCUAAGACAAAGCUUAGCAAGGAACAGGGAAGAGAGAGGACAGAGAGGGAGCAGAAGAGUGAGUGCAAGAGUUGCAUCAAUGUAACCCUAAUCUGGGGUCACAAGAAGAUAGAAAAAGGUUUGCUCUUGCUAGGGAGGCUCGGGAUUGAGCCUUAUACCCCAUGCACUAUUUUCUGCAACUGUUUUGCAAUGUUUAUUAUGCUGAAAGGAAAUGUAAACAUCUGUUACACUUAUGCACUGGGGCGCUUGAAUUAUGCAUUUCCAAGAACUCGAUGUGCAGUUUGAUCAUCUCCUGUGUUCCCCACAUAGAGAAUCUGAGAUGCAAAGGGAGGAGGGGGGGAUACGGCUGUUCCCACAUACAGGAUUUUACCAGAGCAGAACCGUAACAGGCACUGCAUCUGCUCUAGCAGAAGGACCUGUACGAAUACACGCAGAGAAUUUACAGGAUUUGUCUUUUCCCAAAGGAAAAGACCAAAGAAUUGCAUUCUUCUGGAGGGUUAUUUAACUUUUUUUUUUUUUCCCCACACACAAUCGUAAGGCAUAAAUUGAUUUUCGGAGCGUCUGAAGUUCUCGGUGUGGUCCCGUGUCUCCUUAAAGGGGGCAAUAAGAGCUCCAAGAACCUGCACGGAGGGAGGCACCCUCGCUGCGAAUAGGAGCCGUAUCCCGAUGGCCCCGCUCCGGUGCCAGCCCGCCCAGACCCG